rnacentral:rRNA from 1 species
UGGGGAAUUUUGGACAAUGGGCGAAAGCCUGAUCCAGCAAUGCCGCGUGUGUGAAGAAGGCCUUCGGGUUGUAAAGCACUUUUGUCCGGAAAGAAAUCCUUGGCUCUAAUACAGUCGGGGGAUGACGGUACCGGAAGAAUAAGCACCGGCUAACUACGUGCCAGCAGCCGCGGUAAUACGUAGGGUGCAAGCGUUAAUCGGAAUUACUGGGCGUAAAGCGUGCGCAGGCGGUUUGCUAAGACCGAUGUGAAAUCCCCGGGCUCAACCUGGGAACUGCAUUGGUGACUGGCAGGCUAGAGUAUGGCAGAGGGGGGUAGAAUUCCACGUGUAGCAGUGAAAUGCGUAGAGAUGUGGAGGAAUACCGAUGGCGAAGGCAGCCCCCUGGGCCAAUACUGACGCUCACGCACGAAAGCGUGGGGAGCAAACAGGAUUAGAUACCCUGGUAGUCCACGCCCUAAACGAUGUCAACUAGUUNUUGGGGAUCAUUUCCUUAGUAACGUAGCUAACGCGUGAAGUUGACCGCCUGGGGAGUACGGUCGCAAGAUUAAAACUU